GUUAAGCGACUAAGCGUACACGGUGGAUGCCCUGGCAGUCAGAGGCGAUGAAGGACGUGCUAAUCUGCGAAAAGCGCCGGCGAGGUGAUAUGAACCUUUGACCCGGCGAUGUCCGAAUGGGGAAACCCAGUGUGAUUCGUCACACUAUCGUUAACUGAAUACAUAGGUUAACGAGGCGAACCGGGGGAACUGAAACAUCUAAGUACCCCGAGGAAAAGAAAUCAACCGAGAUUCCCCCAGUAGCGGCGAGCGAACGGGGAGCAGCCCAGAGUCUGAAUCAGCGUGUGUGUUAGUGGAACGGUCUGGAAAGUCCGGCGAUACAGGGUGACAGCCCCGUACACGAAAGCACACAUGCUGUGAACUCGAAGAGUAGGGCGGGACACGUGGUAUCCUGUCUGAAUAUGGGGGGACCAUCCUCCAAGGCUAAAUACUCCUGACUGACCGAUAGUGAACCAGUACCGUGAGGGAAAGGCGAAAAGAACCCCGGCGAGGGGAGUGAAAAAGAACCUGAAACCGUGUACGUACAAGCAGUGGGAGCACCCUUCGGGGUGUGACUGCGUACCUUUUGUAUAAUGGGUCAGCGACUUAUAUUCUGUAGCAAGGUUAACCGAAUAGGGGAGCCGAAGGGAAACCGAGUCUUAACUGGGCGUUAAGUUGCAGGGUAUAGACCCGAAACCCGGUGAUCUAGCCAUGGGCAGGUUGAAGGUUGGGUAACACUAACUGGAGGACCGAACCGACUAAUGUUGAAAAAUUAGCGGAUGACCUGUGGCUGGGGGUGAAAGGCCAAUCAAACCGGGAGAUAGCUGGUUCUCCCCGAAAGCUAUUUAGGUAGCGCCUCGUGAACUCAUCUUCGGGGGUAGAGCACUGUUUCGGCUAGGGGGUCAUCCCGACUUACCAACCCGAUGCAAACUGCGAAUACCGAAGAAUGUUAUCACGGGAGACACACGGCGGGUGCUAACGUCCGUCGUGAAGAGGGAAACAACCCAGACCGCCAGCUAAGGUCCCAAAGUCAUGGUUAAGUGGGAAACGAUGUGGGAAGGCCCAGACAGCCAGGAUGUUGGCUUAGAAGCAGCCAUCAUUUAAAGAAAGCGUAAUAGCUCACUGGUCGAGUCGGCCUGCGCGGAAGAUGUAACGGGGCUAAACCAUGCACCGAAGCUGCGGCAGCGACGCUUAUGCGUUGUUGGGUAGGGGAGCGUUCUGUAAGCCGUUGAAGGUGUGCUGUGAGGCAUGCUGGAGGUAUCAGAAGUGCGAAUGCUGACAUAAGUAACGAUAAAGCGGGUGAAAAGCCCGCUCGCCGGAAGACCAAGGGUUCCUGUCCAACGUUAAUCGGGGCAGGGUGAGUCGACCCCUAAGGCGAGGCCGAAAGGCGUAGUCGAUGGGAAACAGGUUAAUAUUCCUGUACUUGGUGUUACUGCGAAGGGGGGACGGAGAAGGCUAUGUUAGCCGGGCGACGGUUGUCCCGGUUUAAGCAUGUAGGCGGAGGUUCCAGGUAAAUCCGGUACCUUUUAACGCUGAGGUGUGAUGACGAGGCACUACGGUGCUGAAGUAACAAAUGCCCUGCUUCCAGGAAAAGCCUCUAAGCAUCAGGUAACACGAAAUCGUACCCCAAACCGACACAGGUGGUCAGGUAGAGAAUACCAAGGCGCUUGAGAGAACUCGGGUGAAGGAACUAGGCAAAAUGGUGCCGUAACUUCGGGAGAAGGCACGCUGACAUGUAGGUGAAGCCCCUGCGGGUGGAGCUGAAGUCAGUCGAAGAUACCAGCUGGCUGCAACUGUUUAUUAAAAACACAGCACUGUGCAAACACGAAAGUGGACGUAUACGGUGUGACGCCUGCCCGGUGCCGGAAGGUUAAUUGAUGGGGUUAUCCUUAGGGAGAAGCUCUUGAUCGAAGCCCCGGUAAACGGCGGCCGUAACUAUAACGGUCCUAAGGUAGCGAAAUUCCUUGUCGGGUAAGUUCCGACCUGCACGAAUGGCGUAAUGAUGGCCAGGCUGUCUCCACCCGAGACUCAGUGAAAUUGAACUCGCUGUGAAGAUGCAGUGUACCCGCGGCAAGACGGAAAGACCCCGUGAACCUUUACUAUAGCUUGACACUGAACAUUGAGCCUUGAUGUGUAGGAUAGGUGGGAGGCUUUGAAGCGUGGACGCCAGUCUGCGUGGAGCCAACCUUGAAAUACCACCCUUUAAUGUUUGAUGUUCUAACCUGGCGCCGUAAUCCGGCGUGGGGACAGUGUCUGGUGGGUAGUUUGACUGGGGCGGUCUCCUCCUAAAGAGUAACGGAGGAGCACGAAGGUUGGCUAAUCCUGGUCGGACAUCAGGAGGUUAGUGCAAUGGCAUAAGCCAGCUUGACUGCGAGCGUGACGGCGCGAGCAGGUGCGAAAGCAGGUCAUAGUGAUCCGGUGGUUCUGAAUGGAAGGGCCAUCGCUCAACGGAUAAAAGGUACUCCGGGGAUAACAGGCUGAUACCGCCCAAGAGUUCAUAUCGACGGCGGUGUUUGGCACCUCGAUGUCGGCUCAUCACAUCCUGGGGCUGAAGUAGGUCCCAAGGGUAUGGCUGUUCGCCAUUUAAAGUGGUACGCGAGCUGGGUUUAGAACGUCGUGAGACAGUUCGGUCCCUAUCUGCCGUGGGCGCUGGAGAAUUGAGGGGGGCUGCUCCUAGUACGAGAGGACCGGAGUGGACGCAUCACUGGUGUUCGGGUUGUCAUGCCAAUGGCAUUGCCCGGUAGCUACAUGCGGAAGAGAUAAGUGCUGAAAGCAUCUAAGCACGAAACUUGCCCCGAGAUGAGUUCUCCCUGAGACCCAGAGUCUCCUGAAGGAACGUUAAAGACUAUGACGUUGAUAGGCCGGGUGUGUAAGCGCAGCGAUGCGUUGAGCUAACCGGUACUAAUGAACCGUGAGGCUUAACC
rnacentral:rRNA from 1 species